AUUAACAAGUGUAACUGUGUCUUCCUUACUUUAUAUAAUAGAUGUCAAAGACUUAUGGUUGAUUACUAACUUAAAAUCAUGAGGCACUUUAAACUCUGUCUUAAGUAUAAAAUGUUUUCACAUAAUUGUGAUUUUAGGCCAAAGACCGGGUUCCAGAUGUGGUUAGAAGAAAAUAGAAGUAAUAUUUUGUCUGACAAUCCUGACUUUUCAGAUGAAGCAGACAUAAUAAAAGAAGGAAUGAUUCGAUUUAGAGUAUUGUCAACUGAAGAAAGAAAGGUGUGGGCUAACAAAGCCAAAGGAGAAACGGCAAGUGAAGGAACUGAAGCAAAGAAGCGAAAACGUGUGGUUGAUGAAAGUGAUGAAACAGAAAACCAGGAAGAAAAAGCAAAAGAGAACCUGAAUUUGUCUAAAAAGCAGAAACCUUUAGAUUUUUCUACAAAUCAGAAACUAUCAGCUUUUGCAUUUAAGCAAGAGUAAAGGAAGAAAGUGACCCUAGGGAAGUAAUGGAUUUUUUUUUACUCAUCUUUGAAUAUAGACUCGAGUCUUUGGGAAACUCAUUAUAUAUUUUUUAAAGAGUUUGAAGCAACUGUUUGUCUUUAUAAGAUAAUGUAGUAAUUAUAUUGGUGUAGGUAACAGGACAUAUGUAAAAACUAUCAUCUUUGCAGAUUACUCUGCCUCCAAAUGCAGGGCCU
rnacentral:sRNA from 1 species